UCCUCCCUCCCCACACGAUCCUGCAGCACCAAGCUUGAUGAAUACUUAGGAAGGCAAACCAUCAUGAUCAGUAAUGGAGCAGUCACUUAGGGUACACCUAUUUCUUUGUGAUUUGAAUAAUCUAUUUCCACCCACCCCAGCCCCACACUGUCAACCACCUUCAACAAUCCGGGGAAUCAAGUUAAUCUUCAAUUAUGUGAAAGAAUUUCAGGAACGAGUGCAGCUCAAGUUACCAAGUAACUUACUGUUGUGAAAAGAUUCAUACCGCAAGCUGCCUAAAUGCAGGGCUUUUAAUGAUGUUCCCCGCCAACAAGGCAUGAAGAUGGGGCUUGCUUCCAUCUGGCCCUCCUGCUACCUUCAGCAACACGCCCCACAUCCAAUCCUGCUUACAGUCGAAGAUGAAUCUGGCAUAAUACAAAGAGCACUGGACCAGAAGCAUGAAGUUUCUCUUAUCUGUGCCUUGGUUUUCUCACGUGGAAAACAGAAAUGUUGACAUAAAUAAUCCCACAGGUCUCUGCUAGUACCAUUUUGUGAUUCUAUAUCAUGCUUACCACACCUAGAAACAGGGGCCAUCAUUCCAGCCAGCUAACAGAGAAAAAUAAGAUAAAUAAUCAGGCUUGGGAAAUACAUUCCGUAGACCAAGUAAACAAAGACAACAAUCUGAUAUAAGUAUUAUAACUGGGGGAUGAGGGGUUGCAAAUGGAGAUCCACCACAGUCAACUCUACUUGAAUUCCCCUGUUCUCGACAGGCAGCAGCAAUCAUAAUGGACUUGGAGCACCAGUCCCACAACAUCACAGGACAUCCAGACAUAAUUGCAUUAAUACUCGCACAACUAUCCGGUUAUUCAGCAUUGCCCAAUAUGUGAAUAAAACUCUUAGGAAAAAUUAAUGCUUGCUUGAUGCUUUGACACAUUUCCCUUUACAAAGCAAAGAUCCCUACUCCUCUCACUUUCUCACAUGUAGCAUUACAACUAGUCAGCAUCCACAUGAGUCCUUAUAAUUAAUCAGAUCUACUGAGAGGUAGGUCCAAGAUGCAGGGUAAGGAGAGAUCAAGCAGAAACAAAAUACACAGCCAUUGCUCUGUAUCUUCAGGAGAUUGGUUCCGGAACCCCCUUCAAUGCCAAAAUCUGCAGAUGCUCAAGUCUCUUAUGUAAGAUGGUAUAGUGUUUGCAUAUAACCUACUAAUAUCCUCCUGUAUACUUUAAAUCAUCUCUAGGUCACUUACAAUACUUAAUACAAUGUGAGUGCUAUGUAAAUGGUUAUCAUACUGUAUUUUUAUUUGUAUUCAUUUUAUUGCUGUAUUAUUACUUCUUUUUUUUUAACAAUUAUUUUUAAUCUGUGGUUACUCGAAGCUGCAGAUGCAGAACCCAGGGAUAUGGAGGCCCAACUGUACUUUUACCUUAUUAUGUAGGCUAUGCUAAUAUUAAUGACUAGAACGUUAUGUUAUUUCUUCUCAGAUUUCAAUAACAGUUGAACCUCAGGGUCAAAGUAUCAGGCACUAAAUUGAAGAGAAUGCUGAUGAUUAGGACAGGAAAGCAACUUAAGCAUCUAUUAGUCCAGCCUACUAUGAAAAGUAGGAAUUCCUUCAACAAAAUUCUCACACAUGCCUAUCCAACUUCCCAAUGAUUAAAGCAAUAACAACAGUAAUGAUAAUAAUAAACACAUAUUUCACACUUACUGUGUGCCAGACACUGUCCUAAGUAUAUUGAGUACUGAUUGUGAAUCAGCACUGUUCCUAAGACUUCAUAGACACUUAACUUAUUGAAUCUUGAAAAUGCCUCUAGGAGGCAGGAUCUAUUAUUGCUCUUAUUUGAUAGAUGAAUCAAUGGAAACAGAAAAGAGUUAACUAACUUGCCAGAGGUCACAAAGUUAGACUGAGAAGAGCUGGACAAUUGCACUAAACAGACUAGCCCUGUAGCCUGUCCUGCUAAUCCUAUGCUACCAAUAGGGGCAAAGGACAGAGACAAAGUAGGGGAUUAGAAUCCAUUUCAACACGACUUUAAUUAAUAGAAAGAUCUUCAGUUUUCUGAGCAAAAGCUGCCUCCUUUAGUCUUCAUAUUACCCACUAGUUCUAAAGAGAAUAAUUAUUCCUUCUUCCAUUUGACAGUGCUUUUUUAUCAAAGAUUGACAAACUAUGGCUUGUAGGCCAAAUCUGGCCCACCAUCUGUUUUUAUAUGGGCCAUGAGCUAAGAACGGAUUUCAAGUUUUCAAAUGGUUGGGAAAAAUAUCAAAAGAAGAAUAAUAUUUUGUGACACAUGAAAAUCACAUGAAAUUUAAAUCUCAGUGUCUAUAAAUGAAGUCUUAUUGGAACACACUCAUACUUCACUUACAUAUUGUCUGUGGCUGCUUUUACUUUACUAUAAGGUCGGAAUUAAGUACUUGAAAAAAGACCACAUGGCCCAGUAAAGCCUAAAAUAUUUACUAUCUGGCCCAUUGCUAGAAUGUGUGCUGAUUCUUGCCUUAAAUAGUAGAAGGUGGUUCUCAUGUCCUUUCCUAAAAUGCUCUUUUUUUAUAGUAAAAUACCUCAGGUCCCCCCAACCACCAUCAUCUCAUUAUCCCGGAAACUCUCCUCUGGCAUUCUUUGGUGCAUAUUCUAUCUCUCUCAAAAUUCUCCUCAGUGGUAUAUGGCUACGAUGGAAUACUACUCAACAAUAAAAAGGAACAAACUACAGUAGAGACACACAACGACAUAAUGAAUCUCCAAACCACUAUUCUCAGUGAAAAAGCCCUGCACGUCUUUUUCUCACUGCAUAAUUGUAUCUACAGGAAAUCCUAAAAUGGGUAAAAUUAAUCUAGGGUGAAAAAUUAUAUAUCAAAAUAAUGGUUGUCUUUGGAAAAAUGGGGCAAGGAUUGGUGGAAUGGGCAUGAGAGAACAAUUUGGGAUGCUGGAAGCAUCCCAGAUCUUGAGAGUUGUUUGGGUUACAUAGUUGUGUAUAUUUGCCAAAAUCCACCAAAAUGUACAUAGUUUGAAUAUUAUACUGUAUCCACCUCAAAAACAAACCUUGUAAGUAAAUAUUGCAUUCUAGUUAAUGAUCUGCAUACUGAAAAGUUUAGUGGUAACGGUAUCAAGGUGUGCAACUCAUUUGAAAUGUGUUGGAAAAUCAAGGUGGUUGGAUGAUUGGGUGGAGGGAAGGACAGAUGGCAAGAGAUGUGAAAAAGCAAGAGAAGUAAAGUGUUCAUUGUCAAAAGUGGGUGACGGAUACCUGGAUGUUCACUAUCUAAUUCUUUCACCUCCUACAUUUAAGUCUUGUCACAACAAAACUUCCUUCUAAAAUAACAUUUUCAAAGUAAAAUUUUUAUGAUAAAUGAGACAGAUAGAUAAAGGUAAUGUCUGGCAUGAAACAAAGUACUCUAAAAGUUGCACAAAGCAACAUCGUUAUUUCCCUUCCUUUGUCCAUUUUUAUGUUAGCAUUUAUUUUCCUUUGAUGUAUCUGAUUGGACCCUGAAAUAUCUACCUUAAA